UUGAUUGCAAAAUUUCAACUCAACUAAGUCUUCUUCGGCUGCAGUGAAAUUGAUUUCUAAUUUGUAACUCAUCAAGGAAGGCUGAACAUGAACGAAAAUCGAGAGAGAAAUCUACGCCAACAGCAAACUGGAGCGGUUGAGGGUUGAUGUUCGACGAACUGCACACCGCGAGUCGCCCGCAAACGUUCGACGGUUGAAUUGCCACCCGGCACCGUGAAUCGCUAAGUUGAUCAAACUUCCGGACGCCAUAUAGUAUGGAUUUGCCAUUGGGAAUAUUGCGCCACCACCCGAAGCCAAUAAACCGCGCAUUUUGUAUCUUCCCAGGCGAAUCUGAGUCUGGCUGCACCGAUGCAGCUGGGUGAAGGACGUGCAGGAUGAAGGAUGAGUCUCCGCCCAGCAACCAUAAGGAGGUGUCAGCAAGAAGGUGCAGGAUAUAGCGGCCGUUAAGUAUGCCGAACGGAUGGCAAGGGCGGGAUGGAAUGACCUCGGGAAUGACGUAUCAGUGCUGUGUGUUAGGACAUUCCAGACGCAUCCCAGAUUCCGCCGAAGUGGGGUGCCUCGGGCGGGUUAAAACACCACUCGAUUCCGGCGUCGCUAGCUCGUCGGAUGCCUUCUUGAGUUUCGUUGGUCUCUUCAGUAGAUUCGCUGCACCGACAAAGUUGGCCCCGUUGUCAGUCCAUACGCUCGUUGGCUUGCCUCGCCGACACACAAACCGGUCAAUUGCUGUGGUUAACAGCACGCUGACGAUUUCGAGGUGGAUCGACGGUCGAACGAUUGUUUAUCGAAAUUUAUCGAAACCCCAGCUACCAUAUUAAAAUCGUCUUUUGCAUUUGGACUUGAUUAGGACGCAUUGAUGGAUCUUCAAAUAUUGAUUCACUUUUUAAGCCUGGAGUGCAUGCAUGCGACUGAUUGAAAUUCGUUAGUUUUAUUUUCUUGUGGAUUUACUAUAGAAUUCAACACAGUUUAUGAUUGUUCUCCAAGCUGUAAUCUGUCGAGUGUCUUUAAAUGCUAUCAAUGGUUAAGCCUGCUGUAAUGUUACAUUUGUACCUCAUCACCCACUUAAUGCAACUACAUUAGUGGUCUAACAACACUAGCGCGCUCGGCUCGGUUCCAUCAUGCCGCUUAUAGUGUUGCCACAUAUAAUGUUAUGUUUGCUAAACCCAGUUAUCUGGCUGGUGGGGCAUGGGAGCCUAAGCUACAACCAUUAAUGCAGUAAGACAAUACUUCAAAUUAAACAAAAGUGAUCUGAAUAUUUAAAGAUUUAUUGAAAAUAUAGAAGCUUUCGUAGCCAAAUUUUAACAAACUUGUUCUGUGAAGAUAGUUAUGUUUUGCUUUCUUUUGGGGCUGAUUUUCCUGUUUAUUUCCUUAUUAUCACAGGGUUAUAUAGCACCAUCUUGUGCAUAUGAACGCUUUGAACAGUCUUAUAAUAUAGGUUCGCUCUUAAAGACUGAAAUGCAUGCAUACUAUGGAAUUGAAUUUAAUCAUUUUCUCAUGGAUUAACUAUUAAAUUCGACGCCAUAGUAUGCUGUAUUCUGCAAGUUGUAGUCUAUCGAGUGUUUUAAGUGCUACAAAAAUGGUAAAGCACGCUAUAAUGUUACUUUUGUACCUCAUCACCCACUUAAUGCAACUACAUUAGUGGUCUAACAACACUAGCACGCUCGGCUCGGUUCCAUCAUGCCGCUUAUAGUGUUGCCACAUAUAAUGCUAUGUCUGCUAAACCCAGUUAUCUGGCUGGUGGGGCAUGGGAGCGUAUGCUUCAACCAUUAAUGCAAUUAAACAUCACACGAUUUACAACAUGAGUGAUCCAUAUAUUAUAUGAUUGUUCAAGCUAAGAAUAUGUACUUAAAAGGCAGCUUAAUAUAUGUAACCUUCUAGUCUUGCUUCUAGUCCAAAUGUAUAGAUAGAAAAUGUGGUUUACUUAAUUUGCAGUACAACAAGAAACCCAUUUCAAAACGUCUAACAUUCUUGUGAAAUUUGACUGAACAAUUUCAUUUGAUAACAUUAAGUUCACAACAGAAAACAAUUACCAAACCAUUGAAUCGAAUAUUCGAUCGUAAUAAAAUCACUGCUCAAAGCAAUACAUUAAUUGUACUUUUAACUAACAUUAGAAUCUUAUGUAUUACAAUAGAAAACCAUUCCGA